UGCCCAGCAACUCCUAUCCCUAUCUCCUCACGGCACUAGCUGGGGUACGAUUAACCUUAGGGAAGAUCGGGUAACCAACCCCGGUGGGAACUUUGGUCGUAUGCUGACAGGGAAGG
rnacentral:ribozyme from 1 species